UGGGGAAUUUUGGACAAUGGGCGCAAGCCUGAUCCAGCCAUGCCGCGUGCAGGAUGAAGGCCUUCGGGUUGUAAACUGCUUUUGUACGGAACGAAAAGGUGCCUUCUAAUAAAGGGCGCUCAUGACGGUACCGUAAGAAUAAGCACCGGCUAACUACGUGCCAGCAGCCGCGGUAAUACGUAGGGUGCAAGCGUUAAUCGGAAUUACUGGGCGUAAAGCGUGCGCAGGCGGUUUUGUAAGACAGAGGUGAAAUCCCCGGGCUCAACCUGGGAACUGCCUUCGUGACUGCAAGGCUGGAGUGCGGCAGAGGGGGAUGGAAUUCCGCGUGUAGCAGUGAAAUGCGUAGAUAUGCGGAGGAACACCGAUGGCGAAGGCAAUCCCCUGGGCCUGCACUGACGCUCAUGCACGAAAGCGUGGGGAGCAAACA
rnacentral:rRNA from 1 species